ensembl:lncRNA
UCGUUCAUCGUAAUUAAAAGCAAAUAUUUGAAGGAUUAUACAGUCACAUGAUAUUCAGUAGGCAUUGCAUUCCCCUGCUUGUGGAAUAAUAAAAAGACUAAAAGGUGGGCCAAAAAUUAAAUAGGGCUCAUGUCUGAAAACUAAACUGGCAUCCAGGAAAAACAGUUUGAAAUGAUUAUUCUGGAAGAGGAAAUAUAGAAAUGAGUCAUUCACCAAACACCUCCUUACAGGGACAACAGGAGUCUGCAAACUAAUGCUGACAACAAUCCAACAGGGUUUUGGACUACUACACACACACAUAUGUGCAUAUAUAUAUCUCACAGUGCAUAUACAUAUUUCUUGUGUGGAAACAAGUACAUUUUCUCUGCAGGUCUGUGACAAGCCUUUGGUGUGCAGGUGAAUGGACUCUAUCUCAGCUAUCAGAUCUUCAGAAUCGUAGAACCAGGAAGGUUGAAGAAGAUAUCUAAGAUCAUCUGGUCCAGCCAUCAACCCAUCCCCACCGUGUCCACUAACCCACGUCCCUCAGUGCCGCAUUUACAAGUUUCUUGAACACCUCCAGGGACAGUGACUGCACCACCUAUCCAGGCAGCCUGUGCCAAUGCCUCACCACUCCUUCUGAGAAAAAAGUUUCCUAAUAUCCAACCCGAACCUCCCCUGACACUACUUGAGGCCAUUACCUCUUGUCCUAUUGCUAGUUACAAAGGAAAAGAGGUCAACCCCCACCUUGCCACAGCCUCCUUUCAGGCAGUUGUAGAGAUCAAUAAUGGCUCCCCUGAGCCUCCCUUUUCCCAGAAUGAACAAUCUCAGUUCCCUCAGCUGCUCCCCAUAAGACUUGUGCUCCAUACCCCUCACCAGUUUUGUUGCCCUUCUCUGGAUGUACUCCAGGGCCUUGAUGUCUUUCUUGUAGUGAGGGGCCCAAAACUGAACACAGCACUCGAGGUGCAGCCUCAUCAGUGCUGAGUACAGAGGGAAUCUUCCUCGGAGGAUGAUGGUUAACUGAAUUAUUUUACUGACAGCAGCUUUGAUUUGAUAAAACUCUGAUAAAAUUAAUACAGGGAAGUGCUUCAUUAAAAUCAGGAUAAGCUCCAUGGAAAGCCAGUGCAUCACACCUAGUCCACCUCUCCUGGUAGCUAACUGUGUUUCCAGGCUCUGAGCCAAGAAACCAGAGCCAUCUGCAUGCACUCAUUCUGAGAUGCUCCUGCCAGGGCUCCCAUGCUCCCUGCAAUCAGGUUCUCAGGUGGGUUCCUGAGGUAGCAGGGCAUAUAUCCUGCCCUGAGGCAGGAGAGCUCACUGUUCCAUGGUCUGCAGCUGUAGGAGAGAGAUCUUCCUAGGCCUGGAGCUCUGCCUACAGCUGGGCGCAUCUUCUGCUCUUUAGGAUGGCUUCCUGAGCCCUGAGAGCCACUGAGGAUCUCAUGGGACUUCCAGGGCAGAAGGUUAGGCUCUGAACUGAACAUAGCAGGAUGGAAUUCCAACGCCUGGUGCAGCUCCUCUGUUCAGGCUGUUGUAACACUGCUGGACCAUGGGCAGCUGCUUUCUGUCCUGGCUGGCUCCCCGAGACAUUGUGAGGGCUUUUCAGAAUUCUCAUCUUGAAGGAAAUGUGGAUAUCUUUAGCCCUAAUUAAUAAACAUUGACCUUUUAUGAACUGGCAAAGACAUCACAUAUAUGAGCUCCCAGAAGAACUUCCUUUUGGCUUUGGAUCAUCAUGUGGGCGGUGCUGGCAAGCCAGCAGGGGAUUUUUGCCAUAAGGGUGGUCAGGUGCUGGCACAGCCUCGCCGAGUGGCUGCGGGUGUCCAUCCAUGGGGACACCCAUCUGGACAUGGCUCUGGCUGAGCCUGCUCUGGGGAGGAUGGAGUAGGACACGUCUGUCUGGAUGUGCCUGCCAGCAGCAGUGAUUCUGGGGGUCAGCACUGACAGCAAAAAAGCUGACUUCUGCAGGAAGACUAAAAGCUUCUCUUUGACCAUCAAUUUUAGCUGCAUGCUCAUGGGCAGGAAGCACUGUCUUUUGGAUGAGUAGCUUUCCCCAGCUGACGAGAACACAGCCUGGAGCACAGCAAGAAAAGCAGCAUACUAAGCAAUGAGGGCUGCAGCAGAAAUAGGCUGCCAGUGGGACUGGCUGUGUUUUAUGGCCAUCCAGACCAUGUGGCUGCAGGGAAACCAUGAUAUCCAUCGUGCAACUUGGAGUGAAUCUAUCUGAAGAAUGACUUGCAAAAAGUCAGAAUUUGAGUGGAAAGUAAAGGGUAAAAAUGGCAGAAAUCCCAAAGCUCAUUCUCAGCACUUGCUGCUGGGAGUGGGUAGAAGCCUGUCCUCUGGGCACAUUAGAGAGUGAUUUCAGUUCCUGCAUUCUCUCCAGACAGCUGUACUGGGCUUGUGACUUGAUGUGCCAGCACAUACUUUGUGCCCUUGUUUUCUGCCUCUCUUUUUCUUCCUCCUCUCCAGUGUGAAACCCAUCUCCAGCUUUCCUUGUCAUUGCAACGAAUGGAAGUCUGCGGCUGUGUGCAAAUACUGUCUCUGCAGCAGUACAAGGAGGAUGCGAGGUGCCAGCACUCAUCCCACCACUGAGAGGAGGAUUCGGUUUCUGGCUGCUGUUGGUAAAAGACAGAUGUACAAUACACAAAGCAAGAGCUGACAUUCAGAAUGUGUGUCACCGUUUGCACUGGGCAGGUUGGUGUAACCGUUUGCAUGUCCGCCUUGCAGUGCAGUCCUGUUGGUGAGUGCAGGAAUCAUUUCCAGCUCUCAGCCCUGCCCUCUCAUCUCUCAUUCUCCUGUUUCCAGUUGCUGAACCCAUCCCCAGCCCGUGACUGUCAGCCUUGGUGCUUCCAUGUCUCUCCUGAAUCCACAGUGUGGAAAAACCAGGCCACAAACAUGUUGAGAAGACAGAUGGAUUUCAGCGAGGCUCAGGGGGCUGCAGAGAGGGUCUGGGUACAGGAAAUUGGCAAAGUAGAUGAGGAGAUGGGAGGAAUUUGUGAUGGUAAGGAAGCAGGAGUGGAGGAGGAAGGAUGGGGGAACAGGCUGGUGCAGCAACGGAGAGGUGCAGCUUAGUCUGAGAGCCAGGAAGGGAGGGCAGGAAAGCUCGCGUGGGCUUUGCUGUUGAGGCAAGGAUGAGGAUGGGAUGGGCAUCUUAAUGCUUUGGGAAUGGAAAUGGAAGACUUCUUAAGUCUCAAAUGAUAUCCAGUGGGUGUUUCCUGAGCCAGGAGAUGUCCCACCUUGGCCACCACUAGGAAAAAGAGCAGACAGAGAUGGCAACUCUCUUCUUGUCAACAGCACAAAUUGUCAACAGCACAAAGGGAGUUUUUGAGGAAGAGAUAGCUAACCAGUGAGAAGCAUUGGCUAAAUGGUUACUUAAGAAGAUUCAUUUUUCAAAGCCUGUGGUACUCAUGCACUGGAACUAACAGUUUCCAGGUCCAAUCUCCUGCUGGCGGGAGGACGCUGAGAAGUGCAGCUGACAGAUGGGUGUGCUUGCAGCCAAUCUCCCUGCGGUGCCCUGGCAAUGUACGGUGCAGCGCAGUGGAAAAGCACCGUUCAUGGAACAGACUGGAAACGAGAGCACUGACAGUGAGCUGUACUUGGACCAGCUCAGCCAAGCUGUAUUUCUGCACUGCUUAUAAAACCAGAAUUCAAUUUAUACGUGGAUUCCAGAGUAUCAUCAGCAGGUGCUGGGAACUCAAAACUUGGCAGAGAACCCUCUUCUUGUUCAUCUCUUCUUUAGCUGACUGGUGAAAAAUGCAGUGUGUUGGAUAUUUGUCAUCUGUUAUUUAAUACGUGGUUUAAGAUCAUCCUUCUCAGAUGAGGUCGGCUGAGAACUGGCUGAGUGGCAGAGCUCAGAGAGUUGUCAUCAGUGACAUGGAGUCUGGCUGAAGACCUGUAGCUAGCAGUGUUCGGGCCAGUGCUGGGUCCAGUCUUGUUCAACAUCUUCAUCAAUAACCUGGUUGAUGGGAUAGAGUCCACCCUCAGCAAGUUUGCUCCUGAUACAAAGCUGGGAGGAGUGGCUCACAUGCCAGAAGCUGUUCUGCCAUUCAAUGGGACCUGGACAGACUGGACAGCUGGGCAGAGAGGAGCCCAACAAGGUUCAACAAAAUCAAGUGCAGAGUCCUGUACCUGGGAAGAAAUAACCACGUGCAUCAGUACAGGCUAGGGGCUGACCUGCUGGAGAGGAGCUCUGCAGAGGACAUGUGAAUCCUGGUGGACAACAGGGUGACCAUGAGCCAGCAGUGUGCCUUUGUGGCCAAGAAGGCCAAUGGUACCCUGGGGUGCAUCAAGAAGAAUGUGGCCAGCAGGUCGAGGGAGGUGAUCCUCCCCCUCUACUCUGCCCUGGUGAGGCCACAUCUGGAGCACUGUGUCUCAUACUGGCCCCCCAGUUCAAAAAAGACAGGGAACUACUGGAGAGAGUCCAACAGAGGGCCACAAAAAUGAUGAGGGGCCUGGAGCAUCUCCCGUAUGAGGAAAGAGCUGGGACUGUUCAGCCUGCUGAAGAGGAGACUGAGAGGGGAUCUGAUUAAUGUUUAUAAAUACGAAAGAGCAGGAGGCAACUGGAUGAGGCCAGGCUGUUUUCAGUGGUGUGUACUGAUAGGACAAGGAGCACUGGCCAAAAACUGGAACACAGGAAGUUCCACACAAAUAUGUGAAAGAACUUCUUUACUGUGAGGGUCACAGAGCACUGGAGCAGGCUGCACACAGAGGCUGUGGAGUCUCCUUCUCUGGAGAUAUUCAAGACCCGUCUGGAUGCUUUCCUGUGUGAUGUGACCUGCUGUAGGGAACUGCUGUAGCAGAGAGGUUGGACUCAAUAAUCUCUAGAGGUCCCUUCCAACCCUGGCAAUUCUGUGACUCUUGAAUAUGUGCUGAACCUCUCUCUGACUGCUGUUUCACCCUUGAGUCCUUGGCCAGGGCUGUGCUGGUGGAAGACUUGAAUGGAAUUGUGGCUUCUCCUGUAUAGUAUAUUCACAGCAGAAAGAAAGUGCUGCAUCUGCAAAGGUGUCCUUACUUCUGAGUUGUAACCACUGCAGGAGAGCAACUGCAUCCUUGGGGAUGUUGAUGUCUGCUGCUGGGGAAAGCACGGGGCAGGGUGAAGCUCGGUGCUUAGCCCCGUUGGCUGUAGAAAGUACUAUGAAGUCAGCAAAAUAUUUAACAAUAUCUUUCAUCUGCGUGGACAUGUCUGCUAACUAAUGAGCUGUGUGCAGGACACUGCUAAAGGGAUUUAAAGAUUAAAAUCAAAAGCAUUGGCCUCUGGGAAAAAAUUGGAUCCAAGAUAAGGUGUUCCUAUUUAGAAGCUUGUCUGGAGAGGGAAGAGAGAAGAUGGAAGACAUAAUCUUCCAGUGAGACUUACUUUUCCUAACUGCCAUUAAUUCAGUUGCUCAUUUUUUUAUGUGGUGUAAAUCUACAGCGGGAUAUGCUUUGUGCUUAUCUGAUAAAACUGAGGUAGAAUCAAGCUUGUUUCUCUGCAGAUAAGAAUAGAGGACUUAGAAUAUUUUUCCAAAUAAAUGAAUAAUGAUGUUUUCUGAAUAGUUA